rnacentral:rRNA from 1 species
UGAACGCUGGAUCAAAGGUUCGGCGAUUCUUGGUUGUGUCGGUUGUCUUGUCGGUCAUCUCUUCAUGUUCCUUGUCGGGGGGAAAACACCCGAUCAAAGUGUCCAUUUAAAUUUGACCACAACAGGGGGACGGAGAAGGCUAUGUUAGCCGGGCGACGGUUGUCCCGGUUUAAGCAUGUAGGCUGAUUGUCCAGGCAAAUCCGGAUAAUCAAGGCUGAGGUGUGAUGACGAGGCACUACGGUGCUGAAGUAACAAAUGCCCUGCUUCCAGGAAAAGCCUCUAAGCAUCAGGUAACAUCAAAUCGUACCCCAAACCGACACAGGUGGUCAGGUAGAGAAUACCAAGGCGCUUGAGAGAACUCGGGUGAAGGAACUAGGCAAAAUGGUGCCGUAACUUCGGGAGAAGGCACGCUGGUGUGUAGGUGAAGUCCCUGCGGAUGGAGCUGAGACCAGUCGAAGAUACCAGCUGGCUGCAACUGUUUAUUAAAAACACAGCACUGUGCAAACACGAAAGUGGACGUAUACGGUGUGACGCCUGCCCGGUGCCGGAAGGUUAAUUGAUGGGGUUAUCCGUAAGGAGAAGCUCUUGAUCGAAGCCCCGGUAAACGGCGGCCGUAACUAUAACGGUCCUAAGGUAGCGAAAUUCCUUGUCGGGUAAGUUCCGACCUGCACGAAUGGCGUAAUGAUGGCCAGGCUGUCUCCACCCGAGACUCAGUGAAAUUGAACUCGCUGUGAAGAUGCAGUGUACCCGCGGCAAGACGGAAAGACCCCGUGAACCUUUACUAUAGCUUGACACUGAACAUUGAGCCUUGAUGUGUAGGAUAGGUGGGAGGCUUUGAAGCGUGGACGCCAGUCUGCGUGGAGCCAACCUUGAAAUACCACCCUUUAAUGUUUGAUGUUCUAACGUUGGCCCCUGACCGGGGUUGCGGACAGUGUCUGGUGGGUAGUUUGACUGGGGCGGUCUCCUCCCAAAGCGUAACGGAGGAGCACGAAGGUUAGCUAAUCCUGGUCGGACAUCAGGAGGUUAGUGCAAUGGCAUAAGCUAGCUUGACUGCGAGCGUGACGGCGCGAGCAGGUGCGAAAGCAGGUCAUAGUGAUCCGGUGGUUCUGAAUGGAAGGGCCAUCGCUCAACGGAUAAAAGGUACUCCGGGGAUAACAGGCUGAUACCGCCCAAGAGUUCAUAUCGACGGCGGUGUUUGGCACCUCGAUGUCGGCUCAUCACAUCCUGGGGCUGAAGUAGGUCCCAAGGGUAUGGCUGUUCGCCAUUUAAAGUGGUACGCGAGCUGGGUUUAGAACGUCGUGAGACAGUUCGGUCCCUAUCUGCCGUGGGCGCUGGAGAAUUGAGGGGGGCUGCUCCUAGUACGAGAGGACCGGAGUGGACGCAUCACUGGUGUUCGGGUUGUCAUGCCAAUGGCACUGCCCGGUAGCUAAAUGCGGAAGAGAUAAGUGCUGAAAGCAUCUAAGCACGAAACUUGCCCCGAGAUGAGUUCUCCCUGAGACUUUAAGUCUCCUGAAGGAACGUUGAAGACGACGACGUUGAUAGGCCGGGUGUGUAAGCGCAGCGAUGCGUUGAGCUAACCGGUACUAAUGAACCGUGAGGCUUAACCUU